rnacentral:rRNA from 1 species
AGUGAACGCUGGCGGUAGGCCUAACACAUGCAAGUCGAACGGCAGCACAGUAAGAGCUUGCUCUUACGGGUGGCGAGUGGCGGACGGGUGAGGAAUACAUCGGAAUCUACUUUUUCGUGGGGGAUAACGUAGGGAAACUUACGCUAAUACCGCAUACGACCUACGGGUGAAAGCAGGGGAUCUUCGGACCUUGCGCGAUUGAAUGAACCGAUGUCGGAUUAGCUAGUUGGCGGGGUAAAGGCCCACCAAGGCGACGAUCCGUAGCUGGUCUGAGAGGAUGAUCAGCCACACUGGAACUGAGACACGGUCCAGACUCCUACGGGAGGCAGCAGUGGGGAAUAUUGGACAAUGGGCGCAAGCCUGAUCCAGCCAUACCGCGUGGGUGAAGAAGGCCUUCGGGUUGUAAAGCCCUUUUGUUGGGAAAGAAAAGCAGCAGGUUAAUACCCCGCUGUUCUGACAGUACCCAAAGAAUAAGCACCGGCUAACUUCGUG